rnacentral:lncRNA from 15 species
AUGGGAGUCGAGCAGGAAAGGUCUGAUGAAUCUGAUAUACUAAAUUGUUUAGUAGCAGCACAAGUGAUGGAGAGGGUGAACCGUGAACUGGCUGCAAUCAGAGGGUCAACCUCUUCCAUGCGGGCAAAGUCUGAUGGGUCGGAAACAUCCAAACUAUCUCCAACCGAAGACAUGGUUUUCUAUGUCUUCCAUGUAUUGAGGUCCUUGAUCCUUACAGGCAUUGAGUCGCCUGAGGAUGAAGGAUCUCUUUACAGUCUUUCCUCUGAGUUUCUUCCAGUCGAAGUGACAAAGGAUGAGGAUGAUGAGGAUGAAGGAUCUCUUUACAGUCUUUCCUCUGAGUGUCUUCCAGUCAAGGUGACAAACGAUGAGGAUGAUGAGGAUGACGAGUCUCCUGAAGGAGGUUCCGGUCCAGACGAGGCGUCGGAUGUUGAGGAGUGUAGUGCAGAGGAAGCUGAACCGAUCUGCUCUGUAUCAGAGCAGGAAAGAUCAGCCGUCUCAGGUGGGCAGAGUGUUAAGUGUUCUGCUAGUCCUGCAGAGAAGUUACCACAGAGAGAAAAUACGUUCUUUCUCAUUGUGUUUCUGAGCAAACUUCUGGACCACAUCGCUCACUGCACCAAGACCUCCAUAUCCGACCUGGACUUUGAUGGGCUGUUGGAACGUCUGAGAGAGGCUGCGGGAGAGAUAAAUCCCACUGUACCGCAGUCUGUUGGAAAUGUCCACAUUCCCAUCUACAAGGAACUUUGUCACGAGUUUGGAUCUGCAAAGCUGCUGCAGGCUGCCGUAGUGUCCAGGGAUGUGGCUUUUGAAGAAGCUGUUGUCGGGACAUUAAAAGCGCAGCUGCACAAGUCCUCGGAAAAAGCUGGCAGCUUUGUAACCAAAGUGAGGAGGUAUUUGGCCAGGAGGACAAGCAAAGUUGUUCCAGCCUGUGUGAACACAUCGGUGUCUCACAGCGAAGUCAACCACCUGGAGAAUGGAUCACCACCACAGAGGAAACAGAAGCGCCCCGCCAUUAUGAGGAUGUUCUCUUCCCUCGCCAGGAUUCUGAGGAAGCCAUUCGCAUGUUGA